rnacentral:rRNA from 1 species
UACGUAGGUGGCAAGCGUUGUCCGGAUUUACUGGGUGUAAAGGGCGUGCAGCCGGAGAGACAAGUCAGAUGUGAAAUCCACAGGCUCAACCUGUGAACUGCAUUUGAAACUGUUUCCCUUGAGUAUCGGAGAGGUCAUCGGAAUUCCUAGUGUAGCGGUGAAAUGCGUAGAUAUCAUGAAGAACUCCGAUCGCGAAGGCAAGUGUCCGGGGUGCAACUGACGCUGAAGCACGAAAGCGUGGGUAUCGAACAGG